rnacentral:rRNA from 1 species
CCUACGGGAGGCAGCAGUGAGGAAUAUUGGUCAAUGGGCGGGAGCCUGAACCAGCCAAGUCGCGUGAGGGAAGACGGUCCUAUGGAUUGUAAACCUCUUUAGGCGGGGAGCAAUGCCGGGCACGCGUGCCCGGAGGGAGAGUACCCGCAGAAUAAGCAUCGGCUAACUCCGUGCCAGCAGCCGCGGUAAUACGGAGGAUGCGAGCGUUAUCCGGAUUUAUUGGGUUUAAAGGGUGCGUAGGUGGGUGCUUAAGUCAGGUGUGAAAACUCUGGGCUCAACCUGGAGGCGGAACGUGAAACUGGGUAUCUUGAGGGGAGGAGAGGAAAGUUGAAGUCCUAGGGUAGCCGUGAAAUGUGUAGAUAUUAGGAGGAACACCAGUGGCGAAGGCGACUUUCUGGACUGUACCUGACGCUGAGGCGCGAAAGCGUGGGUAGCGAACGGGAUUAGAUACCCGUGUAGUC